AUUGAACGCUGGCGGCAUGCCUUACACAUGCAAGUCGAGCGGCAGCGGGGGGAAGCUUGCUUCCCCGCCGGCGAGCGGCGGACGGGUGAGUAAUGUCUGGGAAACUGCCUGAUGGAGGGGGAUAACUACUGGAAACGGUAGCUAAUACCGCAUAACGUCUUCGGACCAAAGUGGGGGACCUUCGGGCCUCAUGCCAUCAGAUGUGCCCAGAUGGGAUUAGCUGGUUGGUGGGGUAACGGCUCACCAAGGCGACGAUCCCUAGCUGGGCUGAGAGGAUGCCCCGCCACACUGGAACUGAGACACGGUCCAGACUCCUACGGGAGGCAGCAGUGGGGAAUAUUGCACAAUGGGCGCAAGCCUGAUGCAGCCAUGCCGCGUGUAUGAAGAAGGCCUUCGGGUUGUAAAGUACUUUCAGCGGGGAGGAAGGUGUUGAGGUUAAUAACCUCAGCAAUUGACGUUACCCGCAGAAGAAGCACCGGCUAACUCCGUGCCAGCAGCCGCAGUAAUAC
rnacentral:rRNA from 1 species